GUCAAGGCUUGCCCAUGACCAUCAAUAAUCAAAGAUUAUUUAUUCAAAAAUCUAUUUUCAUCACAGUCAAGGGAUGAACUGAGGAUGUGGACUUUACCACUAGGAUACAACAACAGCAGAAUCACUGGGCAACAACAACCAAUCAGAGAGGGAUGUACCUUCAGAACAACAGGAGUCUCUGGAAGCCUGGGAGAUAUACCAGAAGAGGUUCCUGAGAUGAGGAAACAGUCUUUUAGGAAUCACUAUGCUCCUGAGAGACUGAUCGUGUCAAUGUAGCCAACGGAUGGAAAGCCUUGUGUAGGGGGAGUGGUAGUUUUUCAUGUUGUUGUAAAUAUUCCUGACUACGUACAUAUGUUGGCUAUAAUGCCUGUAUAAUCCUUUUAAUGAUUAUAUACAUGUUGAUUAAUGGGAUAUGUUUAAAAUAAAGGGGGAGGGGUGCUAUGUAUGUAGUUGGUGUGCUGCCCCUUUAAAAGAACUGAU